rnacentral:rRNA from 1 species
UACUGCUCAGUAACACGUGGAUAACCUGCCCUAAGGAAGGGGAUAACCUCGGGAAACUGAGGAUAAUACCCUAUAGGAUACCGAUGCUGGAAUGCCCGGUAUCCCAAAGCUCCGGCGCCUUAGGAUGGAUCUGCGGCCGAUUAGGUCGUUGUUGGGGUAACGGCCCAACAAGCCGAUAAUCGGUACGGGUUGUGGGAGCAAGAGCCCGGAGUUGGAUUCUGAGACACGAAUCCAGGCCCUACGGGGCGCAGCAGGCGCGAAAACUUUACAAUGCGGGCAACCGUGAUAAGGGAACCUCGAGUGCCUGUACAUGCAGGCUGUCUGGGUGUCUAAAACACACCCAAAGAAAGGGCCGGGCAAGACCGGUGCCAGCCGCCGCGGUAAUACCGGCGGCUCGAGUGGUGGCCACUUUUAUUGGGCUUAAAGCGUUCGUAGCUGGGUUGUUAAGUCUCUUGGGAAAUCCGGCGGCUUAACCGUCGGGCGUCUAAGAGAUACUGGCAAUCUAGGAACCGGGAGAGGUGAGGGGUACUUCGGGGGUAGGAGUGAAAUCCUGUAAUCCUCGAGGGACCACCUGUGGCGAAGGCGCCUCACCAGAACGGCUUCGACAGUGAGGGACGAAAGCUGGGGGAGCAAACCGGAUUAGAUACCCGGGUAGUCCCAGCCGUAAACGAUGCGCGUUAGGUGUGUCGAUGACCACGAGUCAUCGAGGUGCCGAAGGGAAACCGUGAAACGCGCCGCCYKGGAAG